AUGGCGGUCGGGGACGCGCUGCGGCGCCUCUGCGAGGACAUCGGCUGGUCCUACGCCGUCUUCUGGAAGGCCAUCGGCGCCGCCGACCCCGUGCAUUUGGUGUGGGAGGACGGCUACUGCGGCCACACGCCAUGCCCCGCCGGAUCUGAGGCUUCUCAAGCUCGGGCCACUGAGCUCGGGUGUUCUGCUGCUGUUGACAGCAUUUGCUCACUCGUUCGGAAGGACAUGGCCCAGCAGGUUCAUGUCGUGGGAGAAGGGACCAUCGGCCGUGUUGCGUUCACUGGCAGUCAUCAAUGGAUCAUCCAUGGUACUGCGGAUGAUCACGGGCUCUCAUCCGAGGUUGCUUCUGAGAUGCAUUAUCAGUUCAUAGCUGGCAUUAAGACUAUUGCGAUUAUUCCUGUGCUACCACGCGGCGUGCUACAAUUAGGCUCUACUGGUGUGGUUAUGGAGAACACAAGUUUUGUGAUGCAUGCAAAGAAAUUGUGUUCUCAGCUGAACCAGCGAUCAAGUAUGGCUGCAUCUGCUUCAGUAAAAAGUACUUCGAAUCAGUCGCGUCCUCUGCAUGGUGCCUCAAACAUCCAAGCUGCAGACAAUUCCUUCAGUCAAUUCCCAGUGAUACGUGAACAAUACAGACAAUCUGAUAGCGCAACUGCGUCAAGUAGCAAAUCACUAAAUGCAUCUUUGUUUGAGGCUGCACAACAGAAUGGUCUAACUGGUAGAGAGCAUAUUGUCUAUGGCAAGCCUAACGAUAUGUUUGUACAACAAGCGUCUUAUUGUGAUAGUCGACUUGGAAGUAAUACACAGAGUGCUGCAAUAGGCUCUGAUUUGGUCCCAUCGAGCUUGGCAUCAGUGGAGCAACAGCAAAUGCUGAUGAACACCAUUGGACAGUUAGAAUUUGGUAGCGGUACAGAUUUGGCAAGGAGUGCGCUGCUAAAAUCUCUUCUAUACCGAAAUCCUUUUAUGCAUGAAACUAGUGACAUGAAGCUGUCACAUGGAAGAGUUGGCCUAUCCCAAGGGACUACUGGUCAUGGGAGUUAUGGUUUCCUCCCUGGAAGUGCCGGAGUAGUCAGUACUACCUUAUGUACAUCAAGUCAAGUAUCAGAACAAGGAAGCCAUUCCAGUUCAGGAAUGUUACGGCAGAAGCAACCUCCAGUUUCUUGUAAUGUUCCCCAAUCUUCUGAAUUCACCAUGAAAAUGGUGCGCCAAGAAAGAAGGUCAUCUGAAGGUGCUCUGCCUGUAUCUUCUCAAUCUGAUGUUCAGGUUUCUAAUUGCUUGAAUGGCAUGUCCCAAGAGAAUCUAUUGAGUAGGUCAGGUCAUAUGCAGAAAGAUCAAAAUACCGAUAGAGCAAAUGAUCCACGUGUUGCUGUGAGUACACAAGGUGUGAAGAAUAUGGAUGGUUGCAUGCUGCCAGCUAUGCCCAGUGAGACAGCUCACUCUUUGCUUUUGCAGCCAACAUGGGAUAAUGACUUGUUUGAUAUAUUUGGUUCUGAAUUUCAUCAGUUGGGUCAUAAUGUGGAUGCUAAUUUGGUGUCCUCCUGUGAUGCAAAAUCUCAUAGUUUAGACAGAGAUGCAACUGAACCCUCGAUUUGUCUUGAUUCUUCUUCACUCUUCAGUUCACUAGACAAUGACUUUCCCUGUUCCGGGAUCUUCUCACUAACUGAUACUGAUCAAUUACUGGAUGCUGUCAUCUCAAAUGUCAACCCCAGCAGUAAGCAGAGUUCUGAUGACAAUGCUUCUUGCAAGACUGCAUUGACUGACAUUCCAAACAUUUCUCAUUUUGGUUUGGAAGAGUUAAAGCAAUGUGACUCCUCUGGCAUUCCUUCAACGGUAAUCAAGAAUGAGUCCACACAGAUUGUUAAACAACCAUAUUACUUUGAUAAGACUGAAGAUGGUUGUCUUUCCCAAAAUAAUGGAGCACAGAAAUCUCAGAUACGUCUUUGGAUUGAGAAUGGUCAGAACAUGAAAUGUGAAAGUGCAUCAGCUUCUAACAGCAAAGGUCUUGAUACACAAAGCAAGUCAAAUCGAAAGAGAUCUCGACCUGGAGAGAGUUCUAAGGCACGGCCAAAGGAUCGGCAGCUGAUACAGGAUCGUAUAAAGGAGCUCCGAGAAAUGGUGCCUAAUGGAGCUAAGCAGUGCAGCAUUGAUGCUUUGUUGGAGAAGACAGUUAAGCACAUGCUCUUCUUGCAAAGCGUUACAAAGCAUGCAGACAAACUCAAGGAUUCUACUGAAUCUAAGAUACUUGGCAGUGAGAACGGUCCUGUGUGGAAAGACUACUUUGAAGGUGGUGCAACCUGGGCCUUUGAUGUUGGCUCUCAGUCUAUGACAUGUCCAAUCAUCGUUGAGGAUCUUGACAGACCACGUCAGAUGCUUGUGGAGAUGAUUUGUGAGGAUAGAGGCAUCUUCUUGGAGAUAGCUGAUUUCAUCAAAGGACUUGGGUUGACCAUCCUGAGGGGUGUAAUGGAAGCACGUAAAAGUAAAAUCUGGGCACGCUUUACUGUUGAGGCAAACAGGGAUGUAACCAGAAUGGAAAUCUUUCUCUCGCUUGUACGGUUGUUGGAACCCAAUUGCGAUGGCAGCGGAGCAGCAGAGAAUCCCAACAGUGUAAACAUGCCUCUUGGUUUGGUUCGCCAACCUGUCAUCCCGGCAACAGGUGGUAUCCAGUGA
rnacentral:rRNA from 1 species